CACAUUAGCUCCUGCUGAAGAGAUCUCCUUUCUGCUUGUGCUACCCAAGAUAAGGAAAAUGCUGCCAUCAACAAGAUGAAGUCACAUUUCUCCACAUCAGGAGCCCCUCCUGCCAUUGUGAUCCUGCUGGGAUGGCCGAUCUCCUCCGGCGGGCUUUAAACUAGGCUCAUCGGGGGAAGGGGAAGUUGAGGACGGAGGGAGCCACAGAACACCGAACAAAGAGCCACCCACAAGAGCAGCCCAGCUGAGACAAGCAAUGAGCACAACAAAUACCCAGGAGGUGCACACUCCCACCAGGGGAAAUGCCUUGUUGGACCUGGUCCUGGCCACAGGUGACGACCUGGUGAGUGGACUGCGGGUUCUUGACCACCUGAGCGAUAGCGAUCAUCGCCUGCUGGAAUUCGCCAUCUGGCGCAGGGUGUCAAAGGCCUGCAGCAAGCCAACAGCCCUAGACUUCAGGAGGAUGGAUUUCAAUGAGCAGCUCUUUCUGGAUGUCCCUCCACCACGCCAUUCCUUAUGUGAAAGAAGCAGAACAUUCAUCUGACAUAUAAAACGUGCCUUUCUCCAAGUCCAUUGACACCACUAUCAACUGGUCACUCAAAUUUGUUGUCCUACUUGCUUCUGCUUUUUUUUCCUCUAACUGCAUCCAGAUUUUCCCCAAUCUAGUCACGCUUAAUCCUAUUGCAUUUAGAAAAUGUCUCCAUUUCUAUCCAUCCCGGCUUUUAACAUCCUUGCCCUGAAGGAUGUCUUGCCCUGUCUUGUCUUGCCAACAGUACACAAAAGCCAUCCUUGAAACCAAGUUUGGCCGCUAAAGAAAUGUUUCAGCCAUGUCUCCUUUUCCUUUUAUUCCAGGGCUGAGUGGUAAUGGUAUAGGAGCCCUAAGAGCAACCCUAAGCAAUCCUGGGAGACGGGUGGUUGUACUGGUCCACUUGCACCCCCAUUCAAUUCCUGCUCCACCCAAAGUUUAAAAACCAACUACUUGGCAAUGGCAGCAGCGUUUCUAGUCAGGCGGAGCUGAGGGAGUCAAUUGACUUCAUGGCUUGCUGUCAUCUACCUGAUCCCUUCUAAACACUUCAUUCCACAGGUGUUAACCCUCUCUUCUUUUUAAUGGUUUUGAUGUUCCGCCAGUCAAGCUAGCCUUUGUUCCGCAGUGCUGUCUGUUAGCUGCUCCUGGUAAUGAAGCUCUUAUUUCAUAGCCCUGCAGAUUGUUUUUAGCACAUUCCAAAGUUGUGUUUGUUUUUGCUUCAAUCUUAUCCUAAAUAACAUAGCCCUGAGCCUCAAGCAUAUUAGUGAAGCAUCUACUUUAUAUUUAACUGAAGAAAAAUAUGCUUUGUUUUAUAUAUGAUGAUGCACCUUACCAUCUGCACCCCACAUUUCAAAAUUCUAGAUCCGCCCAUGCUUGGAGAAAUCUAUAAUUGUUCCCUUAAGAAUUAAGGAGCACAAAUACACAUAAUUGGGAUGAGCUUCUGGCACUAUAUGUACAAAAUUACUUAGUCUAGAGUCCCUACUAUUUUUGGCCUCAUAGGAGAGGAAUACCUUUUAGGAUUUUUUUCUUUGUAGAAAGAAGAAGGUUGCUUAGCUAUGAAAAGGAGUUCUCAAUGUUAAAAGAGUGCCAUUGCAGCUUGUGUUCAUUAUCCAAGUUCAGACAUCCAGGGGCUUAAGGGGAGAUUGAAGCCUUGCUCAUUUUGGCUCUACACCAAAUGCAGAUUAGCUGACCCAAAAUGCACUCAGAAAAAUGAGAAAAAUCUUGAAAAAAAAUAAAGAGUAAUUUCAAACAAUGGGAGGCCUGGCUGUACACCAGUUCUCACCAGCAGCAGAAUGCACAAUGCUGCAGAUUUGCUGGUGUUUUGCACUCAUACUGAACUAUGGUUGGUACAACAAUCUCUGGACAAUGGUAAAUUGGUCAAAAUGCAUUAAAGUUUAUCCUGUUAAACCUUC